GUUUUAACCCGAAUUUUCCAGAUAUUAUGAAAACCAAUCGGAAAAUUAAAAAAUGACCUGUUUAAAGUACCAUACAGACAAUGUUUCCUUCCAGAAAAAGUGUCACACUUACAUAUCGAAGCUAAAUUUCUGGUAGACAUUUUUGUCAAUACAUAAAAAAAAUAACAAUAAACAUUAUUGUAAAACCAAUACAUUCUUCGCUACAUUCAGAAUCUAGAAUUCCAAGAUAUACUAUCUUACAACAUUUAAGAAACAUAAUAAGAUAUACUGUAUUACAAUCGUACACAAUGUUUUGUAACUAAUUAAUGUGAAUUACUAUAAUAUGAGAAAAAGAAAAAAGAAUUUUAUGUUCCUGGAAACUGGAAUACAACCCGUAAAAGUUUUUACUCAGUAUAUUUACCUAAAUUAAUGUCUUUUUUUUAAAAAUUAUUAUUAUUAUAAUUGAAUGCGUAAUGGUAUUGUGUGGUGUGUACCAAACGAUUAAUUAAACGCAA